rnacentral:rRNA from 1 species
GGGAAUCUGCCCUUCGGUUGGGAAUAACUGAGAGAAAUUUCAGCUAAUACCUUAUAAUGUCUUCGGACCAAAGAUUUAUCGCCGAGGGAUGAGCCCGCGUAGGAUUAGCUAGUUGGUGGGGCAAUGGCCUACCAAGGCGACGAUCCUUAGCUGGUCUGAGAGGAUGAUCAGCCACACUGGGACUGAGACACGGCCCAGACUCCUACGGGAGGCAGCAGUGGGGAAUAUUGGACAAUGGGCGAAAGCCUGAUCCAGCAAUGCCGCGUGAGUGAUGAAGGCCUUAGGGUUGUAAAGCUCUUUUACCAGGGAUGAUAAUGACAGUACCUGGAGAAUAAGCUCCGGCUAACUCCGUGCCAGCAGCCGCGGCAAUACGGAGGGAGCUAGCGUUGUUCGGAAUUACUGGGCGUAAAGCGCGCGUAGGCGGCUGUUCAAGUCAGAGGUGAAAGCCCGGGGCUCAACCCCGGAACUGCCUUUGAAACUAGAUAGCUAGAAUCAUGGAGAGGUCAGUGGAAUUCCGAGU